UAUGAUGUUCUGCAUAUAGUUCACUGACAAACUGACACAUAUUAUUUAUUCUUUUGUGCUUGUACAAACACUGCUGUUUAAGGAUUCAACUACAAACAAUGCAAUGCCAACUUGGUAUUCAUCAAAACUAACACAGGACAAGACAAACCUAUAUCAGACAUAGAAAAUUUUUAAAUGAUAAUAAUAGUUUGAAAUUUUGGCACAAAGACAGUAAUUUUAAGGGAGCAGAUAAGCAUCCGACGAGUAUUUUAUAGAUUUACUAGCGUGCAAAAUAAAAAUAAAAACAGGUCAUCUAUGAGUUGACAGCAAGAAAAAGAUUAACUGCGAUAUAUGCAUAUUCACUCGGAAGAAUUAUAAAUAAACCAAUCAAAGAAUGC